rnacentral:tRNA from 1 species
CGUGGUGUAGCUCAAGGGGUAGAGCGGCGGCCCGAUGUGGGAGUGUCACAUUGACGAUAACGCCUGCGGAGAAGUGGCGACCAGUCACCAAAGCGGACGCGCAGACGGGUGCAGGUUCAAAUCCUGCCGCCACGCCCA